CUAACUCCUCUCUGCGCUGCAUGUAGCCGGUUCUGUCACCUCGCGUCGGUUUGUGUCCUACUGUGAGAGGAAUAAAGGCUUUUCUGAAAACAGUCUUAGCAGUAACAGAGAAUGUGCUGAUUAUAUUUGUAUUAGGAGACCAACAGCCAAAGAACCGCUAUAGAAUACCUCUACUGAGAAGGUAGCAACAGACUUGGAAAAUCCAUUCUAACCAAAUCUGCUGAACAGGAGAGAGAGGAAGGGCCUUUUAUGAAAUGAUCGGAAGAAGGAUGAUUCUGUGAAACUGAAGGCAUUUGUCAAAGACUGCGACUUGCUGCAAGACAAAAAUGCAACAUGUUUUGUAUGGUCAUAUUGUCUGCAGCUUCCAUCCACAUAUAACUAGUAUAACAUGUAUAAAUUCUGAGAAAAGGAAAAAUGUCUAUAAUAUGAAAACAAUUUGCAUUUGAACAAAAUGGAUGUUCAUACACAAGCAGUAUAGUUAGAUGUAGCAUACAGAGCUGCUGCAAUACAGCACAUUCUUUCCAUACUUUGAUUUGAGGAGUAGGAUAAUCUUUUCUUCAGAGAACACACUUUUUUACAGAUCUGAAACACUGGAUCCCACUAAAUCAGAUGAUGUAAAUUAGGACUUGUGAAAAACUAGGCCUGCUGCUAAAUCCAAAUCACCACAGGGGGAACCCAACACAUUUGGGAUCAUUAGUUGGGUUCCUAAAGGCUGUGAACAGUUACUGCACAAAAAAAUGUGCAGAUGUGUCAGGAAGAGUUUGAGGAAUGAGUCCUAAAGUUGUAAUGUGUUUGGACAUUUGAUCCUUAUGGCGGCUUAAUGACACUUUAUAUCUUUCAAAAGAAUUCACAAAAUCAGAUAUCAAGUUUCUUUUCUGUAAGCAGUUAGUCUAGAUAUGCUGUUCUGGUUUUACUGCUAUCAUGUAACGUUGGUGUAAGUCUCUAUGUAAGCAUUAGUAAAAUAAUAUA